AUGCUGAGGACCAAGACUCCGGGCCCGCGCGGCGGGAGCAAGUCCCGCCGCCGCUUCACGCCCCCCGCGACCAAGGCGCAGGCGCAGAUGGCGGCGGCGGCGGUGGCCGGCAGCUCGCCGUCGGGGGAGCUCUCGCAGAAGCUCGAGCACGUCACCCUCUUCCCCCUUUUCGCCGACUGCCCCUUCGCCUCGCCCAAGCCCUUCGGGGAGCUCCUCGAGGACCCCCGCCCGGCCCCGGCUCCCGCCCCCGCCCCCGCCCCCGCCCCCGCUCCGCCGCAGCAGGCCGCGCCCGUGGACGCGGACGUGCCCAUGGAGGACAGGGACGCCUGCAUCCUCAGCCAGGAUUUCUUCUGUACCCCGGAUUACCUCACGCCCGACGCGCCGCAGCUGGCGAGCGGCUUCGACGCCGAUAAGGAGAACACCCCUUGCCCCCAAUCUCCAGAGAAGUCAGUGGCCCGGAGCAAGAGGUACAAGAGAGAUUCUUCCCCGAAAGGUCGAUCCAUGGACCUAAUGGAGGCGGACAGCCAGGAGAUUACUCCGGUCCGAUUUUCUCUAAGUCAAGAUGAUCCAGAGGAAGAAAAGAUGGCGCAACCUAGUUCGCAAAAGAGAGGUAGCUAUGUCCCACAUUCAGCAAGAGUUCUGCGCUCCCAGGUGACGCCUCCACCGUGCAUCAAGAAUCCAUAUAAUAUGGACCCUCGGAUAGAUGAUAAUGUGUUCUCCGUGAGGAAAUGCAAAUCAUCAGGGUCUUCUCCCUCUAUUGGCGCUGACGGUCUUUCACGUUACCGUACUGAUUUCCAUGAAAUUGAGCAAAUUGGAUAUGGAAACUUCAGUGUCGUGUUUAAAGUUCUGAGGAGGAUAGAGGGCUGCUUGUAUGCAGUAAAACGGAGCAUCAAGCAGUUGCAUAAUGACAUGGACAGGAGGCAAGCAUUGAAGGAAGUGCAUACUUUGGUGGCCUUAGGUAACCAUGAGAACAUAGUUGGAUAUUUCACCUCUUGGUUCGAGACCGAAAAACUUUAUAUCCAGAUGGAACUCUGUGACCGUUCCCUAUCUGUGAAUGGGGACAAGCCGUUGGAGUUUGGGGAUGCCCUGGAACUGUUGUAUCAGAUCUGCAAAGGUUUGGACUUCAUUCACGGGCGUGGCGUAGCACACCUUGACGUGAAACCAGAUAACAUAUAUGUCAGGAAUGGUAUUUAUAAGCUUGGAGAUUUCGGUUGUGCUACACUUAUUGAUCGAAGUUUGGCAAUUGAAGAAGGAGAUUCUCGUUAUAUGCCUCCAGAAAUGUUGAAUGAAAAGCAUGAGCAUCUUGACAAGGUAGACAUCUUUUCUCUCGGGGCAGCUGUCUAUGAGCUUAUAAGAGGCACUCCGCUUCCUGUUUCUGGACACCAGUUUGCAAGUCUCAGAGAGGGCAAAAUCUCAUUGCUACCAGGACACCCAAUGCAGUUCCAGAGUUUAAUCAAGUCGAUGAUGGACCCUGAUCCCGUGAGGCGGCCGUCUGGGAAAGAGAUCCUGAGACACCCCAUAUUUGAGAAGCUGCGUAAUGCCUCGGCAAAGAAGUAG
rnacentral:rRNA from 1 species